UUUUAGUAGCUUAGCACUAAAUGAAACUAGAUACAAGCGAGCGCGGACGGGUGAGUACACGUGGGUAACCUGCCCAAGAGACUGGGAUAACACCUGGAAACAGAUGCUAAUACCGGAGUAACAACACUAGACGCUAUGUCUAGAGUUUUGAAAGAUGGUUCUGCUAUCACUCUUGGAUGGACCUGCGUGCAUUAGCUAGUUGGUAAGGUAACGGCUUACCAAGGCAAUGAUGCAUAGCCGAGUUGAGAGACUGAUCGGCCACAUUGGGGCCUAGAGACGACGGCCCAAACUCCUACGGGAGGCAGCAGUAGGGAAUCUUCCACAAUGGACGAAAGUCUGAUGGAGCAACGCCGCGUGUAGUGAAGAAGGGGUUUCGGCUCGUUAAAGCUCUGUUGGUAGUGAAGAAAGAUAGAGGUAGUAACUGGCCUUUAUUUGACGGUAAUUACUUAGAAAGUCACGGCUAACUACGUGCCAGCAGCCGCGGUAA
rnacentral:rRNA from 1 species